ACUGAAGGUCUGCAGAAACAAAAAAAAGUUUUGAUGGAGCUUCAAGGCACUGUAAAACUACACACCGUAAAAUUAAAAGUUUGUAUGGCCUUCAAAAGCAUGCUGAGAAGUCCAUCAGAAACACCACAGAAAGUGACAAAUGUAACAUGAAGAUAAAUUUCAGCUUUGCUUGGAAAUGAGUCAGCAAUGUUGGCUGGGGGGAUGCACUGCUCCAGGAACAGGUCCUCCUCAUCGUCUUCUGUUUCUAUGUUCUCGGGAGGCCAGCGCAGCUCACCGCUUUCCACUUCGCUCACUUCUGUUGGCUCCACAA